rnacentral:rRNA from 1 species
CAACUCUCAACACGAUAUCUUGGCUCUCGCAACGAUGAAGACGCAGCGAAUGCGAAUACGUAGUGUGAAUUGCAGAAUUCCGUGAAUCAUCGAAUCUUUGAACGCAUAUUGCGCCCGCGGCUUCGGCCAAGGGCAUGCCUGCCUGAGCGUCAUU